CGGCGGACGGGUGAGUAACACGUGGAUAACCUACCUAUAAGACUGGGAUAACUUCGGGAAACCGGAGCUAAUACCGGAUAAUAUAUUGAACCGCAUGGUCCAAUAGUGAAAGACGGUUUUGCUGUCACUUAUAGAUGGAUCCGCGCCGCAUUAGCUAGUUGGUAAGGUAACGGCUUACCAAGGCAACGAUGCGUAGCCGACCUGAGAGGGUGAUCGGCCACACUGGAACUGAGACACGGUCCAG
rnacentral:rRNA from 1 species